CAAUAGCGUAUAUUAAAGUUGUUGCAGUUAAAAAGCUCGUAGUUGGAUUUCGGGUAGGAUUUGCCGGUCCGUCUUUGAGAUGUGUACUGGUAAGUCCUAUCUUCUUGUCGGGGACCAGCUCCUGGGCUUCACUGUCCGGGCCUGGGAGCCGACGAAGUUACUUUGAGUAAAUUAGAGUGUUCAAAGCAAGCCUACGCUCUGAAUAUAUUAGCAUGGAAUAACACGAUAGGACUCUGGCUUAUCUUGUUGGUCUGUGAGACCAGAGUAAUGAUUAAGAGGGACAGUCGGGGACAUUCGUAUUUCAUUGUCAGAGGUGAAAUUCUUGGAUUUAUGAAAGACGAACUUCUGCGAAAGCAUUUGUCAAGGAUGUUUUCAUUAA
rnacentral:rRNA from 1 species